rnacentral:rRNA from 3 species
CCUGGCGGCAAUAGCGCGGUGGUCCCACCUGACCCCAUGCCGAACUCAGAAGUGAAACGCCGUAG